UACGUAGGUGGCAAGCGUUGUCCGGAAUUAUUGGGCGUAAAGCGCGCGCAGGCGGUCCUUUAAGUCUGAUGUGAAAGCCCACGGCUCAACCGUGGAGGGUCAUUGGAAACUGGGGGACUUGAGUGCAGGAGAGAAGAGUGGAAUUCCACGUGUAGCGGUGAAAUGCGUAGAGAUGGUGGAGGAACACCAGUGGCGAAGGCGACUACCUGGCCUGUUCUUGACGCUGAGGCGCGAAAGCUAGGGGAGCAAACGGG
rnacentral:rRNA from 1 species